CGUGUGUGUUGAGGCUUAGGACGUAAAGCACUUUCGCMRGGAUGAUAAUGACAGUACCUGGUAAAGAAACCCGGCUAACUCCGUGCCAGCAGCCGCGGUAAUACGGAGGGGGUUAGCGUUGUUCGGAAUUACUGGGCGUAAAGCGUACGUAGGCGGAUUGGAAAGUUGGGGGUGAAAUCCCAGGGCUCAACCCUGGAACUGCCUCCAAAACUAUCAGUCUAGAGUUCGAGAGAGGUGAGUGGAAUUCCAAGUGUAGAGGUGAAAUUCGUAGAUAUUUGGAGGAACACCAGUGGCGAAGGCGGCUCACUGGCUCGAUACUGACGCUGAGGUACGAAAGUGUGGGGAGCAAACAGGAUUAGAUACCCUGGUAGUCCACACCGUAAACGAUGAAUGCCAGUCGUCGGGCAGUAUACUGUUCGGUGACACACUAACGAUUAAGCAUUCCGCUGGGAGUACGGUCGAAGU
rnacentral:rRNA from 1 species